ACGGGUGAGUAACGCGUGGGAAUCUACCGUGCCCUGUGGAAUAGCUCCGGGAAACUGGAAUUAAUACCGCAUACGCCCUACGGGGGAAAGAUUUAUCGGGGUAUGAUGAGCCCGCGUUGGAUUAGCUAGUUGGUGGGGUAAAGGCCUACCAAGGCGACGAUCCAUAGCUGGUCUGAGAGGAUGAUCAGCCACAUUGGGACUGAGACACGGCCCAAACUCCUACGGGAGGCAGCAGUGGGGAAUAUUGGACAAUGGGCGCAAGCCUGAUCCAGCCAUGCCGCGUGAGUGAUGAAGGCCUUAGGGUUGUAAAGCUCUUUCACCGGAGAAGAUAAUGACGGUAUCCGGAGAAGAAGCCCCGGCUAACUUCGUGCCAGCAGCCGCGGUAAUACGAAGGGGGCUAGCGUUGUUCGGAAUUACUGGGCGUAAAGCGCACGUAGGCGGAUAUUUAAGUCAGGGGUGAAAUCCCAGAGCUCAACUCUGGAACUGCCUUUGAUACUGGGUAUCUUGAGUAUGGAAGAGGUAAGUGGAAUUCCGAGUGUAGAGGUGAAAUUCGUAGA
rnacentral:rRNA from 1 species